rnacentral:rRNA from 1 species
UGCCAGCCGCCGCGGUAAUACGGAGGGUGCAAGCGUUGUCCGGAUUCACUGGGUUUAAAGGGUGCGUAGGCGGAUUAAUAAGUCAGUGGUGAAAUCCUACAGCUUAACUGUAGAACUGCCAUUGAUACUGUUAAUCUUGAGUCCAGUCGAGGUGGAUGGAAUUUAUGAUGUAGCGGUGAAAUGCAUAGAUAUCAUAAAGAACACCAAUUGCGAAGGCAGUUCACUAGACUGGUACUGACGCUCAGGCACGAAAGCGUGGGGAGCGAACAGGAUUAGAUA